rnacentral:rRNA from 1 species
UACAGAGGUCCCAAGCGUUGUUCGGAUUCACUGGGCGUAAAGGGUGCGUAGGCGGUCGGGUAAGUCUGAUGUGAAAUCUCCAAGCUUAACUUGGAAAUGGCAUCGGAUACUAUUCGGCUCGAGGAAUGGAGGGGAGACUGGAAUACUUGGUGUAGCAGUGAAAUGCGUAGAUAUCAAGUGGAACACCAGUGGCGAAGGCGAGUCUCUGGACAUUUCCUGACGCUGAGGCACGAAAGCCAGGGGAGCAAACGGG